rnacentral:rRNA from 1 species
AGCGUGGGGAUCAAACAGGAUUAGAUACCCUGGUAGUCCACGCCGUAAACGAUGAGUGCUAAGUGUUAGGGGGUUUCCGCCCCUUAGUGCUGCAGCUAACGCAUUAAGCACUCCGCCUGGGGAGUACGACCGCAAGGUUGAAACUCAAAGGAAUUGACGGGGACCCGCANNGCGGUGGAGCAUGUGGUUUAAUUCGAAGCAACGCGAAGAACCUUACCAAAUCUUGACAUCCUUUGACCGCUCUAGAGAUAGAGUUUUCCCCUUCGGGGGACAAAGUGACAGGUGGUGCAUGGUUGUCGUCAGCUCGUGUCGUGAGAUGUUGGGUUAAGUCCCGCAACGAGCGCAACCCUUAAGCUUAGUUGCCAUCAUUAAGUUGGGCACUCUAAGUUGACUGCCGGUGACAAACCGGAGGAAGGUGGGGAUGACGUCAAAUCAUCAUGCCCCUUAUGAUUUGGGCUACACACGUGCUACAAUGGACAAUACAAAGGGCAGCUAAACCGCGAGGUCAAGCAAAUCCCAUAAAGUUGUUCUCAGUUCGGAUUGUAGUCUGCAACUCGACUACAUGAAGCUGGAAUCGCUAGUAAUCGUAGAUCAGCAUGCUACGGUGAAUACGUUCCCGGGUCUUGUACACACCGCCCGUCACACCACGAGAGUUUGUAACACCCGAAGCCGGUGGAGUAACCAUUUA